rnacentral:rRNA from 1 species
UACGGGGGGGGCAAGCGUUGUUCGGAAUUACUGGGCGUAAAGGGUUCGUAGGUGGCCAACUAAGUCAGACGUGAAAUCCCUCAGCUUAACUGGGGAACUGCGUCUGAUACUGGUCGGCUUGAGUGCAGGAGAGGAACGCGGAAUUCCAGGUGUAGCGGUGAAAUGCGUAGAUAUCUGGAGGAACACCGGUGGCGAAGGCGGCGUUCUGGACUGCAACUGACACUGAGGAGCGAAAGCGUGGGGAGCGAACAGG